GAUGAACGCUGGCGGCGUGCCUAAUACAUGCAAGUCGAACGCGCAGCGAAAGGUGCUUGCACCUUUCAAGCGAGUGGCGAACGGGUGAGUAACACGUGGAUAACCUGCCCCAAGGCUGGGGAUAACAUUUGGAAACAGAUGCUAAUACCGAAUAAAACUUAGUAUCGCAUGAUACAAAGUUUAAAGGCGCUACGGCGUCACCGCGGGAUGGACCCGCGGUGCAUUAGUUAGUUGGUGGGGUAAAGGCUUACCAAGACGAUGAUCGCAUGGCCGAGUUGAGAGACUGAUCGGCCACAUUGGGACUGGGACACGGCCCAAACUCCUACGGGAGGCUGCAGUAGGGAAUCUUCCACAAUGGGCGCAAGCCUGAUGGAGCAACGCCGCGUGUGUGAUGAAGGCUUUCGGGUCGUAAAGCACUGUUGUAUGGGAAGAAAUGCUAAAAUAGGGAAUGAUUUUAGUUUGACGGUACCAUGCCAGAAAGGGACGGCUAAAUACGUGCCAGCAGCCGCCGUAA
rnacentral:rRNA from 1 species